rnacentral:rRNA from 1 species
GGAGAGUUUGAUCAUGGCUCAGAGCGAACGCUGGCGGCAGGCCUAACACAUGCAAGUCGAACGAACUCUUCGGAGUGAGUGGCGGACGGGUGAGUAACACGUGGGAACGUACCCUUUGGUUCGGAACAACACAGGGAAACUUGUGCUAAUACCGGAUGUGCCCUUCGGGGGAAAGAUUUAUCGCCAUUGGAGCGGCCCGCGUUGGAUUAGCUAGUUGGUGGGGUAAAGGCCCACCAAGGCUCCGAUCCAUAGCUGGUCUGAGAGGAUGAUCAGCCACACUGGGACUGAGACACGGCCCAGACUCCUACGGGAGGCAGCAGUGGGGAAUCUUGCGCAAUUGGCGAAAGCCUGACGCAGCCAUGCCGCGUGAAUGAUGAAGGUCUUAGGAUUGUAAAAUUCUUUCAGCAGGGACGAUAAUGACGGUACCUGCAGAAGAAGCCCCGGCUAACUUCGUGCCAGCAGCCGCGGUAAUACGAAGGGGGCUAGCGUUGCUCGGAUUUACUGGGCGUAAAGGGCGCGUAGGCGGAUGACCAAGUUGGGGGUGAAAUCCCGGGGCUCAACCUCGGAACUGCCUCCAAAACUGGUGAUCUUGAGUAUGAGAGAGGUGUGUGGAACUCCGAGUGUAGAGGUGAAAUUCGUAGAUAUUCGGAAGAACACCAGUGGCGAAGGCGACACACUGGCUCAUUACUGACGCUGAGGCGCGAAAGCGUGGGGAGCAAACAGGAUUAGAUACCCUGGAAUCACUAGUGCGCCGCCUGCAGGUCGACCAUAUGGGAGACCUCCAACGCGUUGGAUGCAUAGCUUGAGUAUUCUAUAGUGU